AACGCACAUUGCACUCCUUUGGAGUAUGCCUGUUUGAGAAUCUAUUGUAUUCAUUCGCCUGCAUUUAUUUGUAAGCGAGAUCUGAGGCUUCUCUCGUCAGAGAGUGCCUUUAAAUGGAUUGCAUUUGAUGGGAUUGUAGUGUUUGAGUCUCUAUCCUCUGCAGAAAAGUAUUUGAAUGGAACUGAGGUUUCUCGUAUGCUAAAUAUGCAGAGCAGAGAGUAGUUGCAGUCUCGCAGGUGUCCAUAACCUUAAGACUAUGCUAGCAAUAGCGUAGCCUUGAACCAUGGUCUCAAAUCAGGUAGGAAGACCCGCUGAACUUAA
rnacentral:misc_RNA from 1 species